GUGGACGCCAGUCUGCGUGGAGCCAACCUUGAAAUACCACCCUUUAAUGUUUGAUGUUCUAACGUUGGCCCCUGACCGGGGUUGCGGACAGUGUCUGGUGGGUAGUUUGACUGGGGCGGUCUCCUCCCAAAGCGUAACGGAGGAGCACGAAGGUUAGCUAAUCCUGGUCGGACAUCAGGAGGUUAGUGCAAUGGCAUAAGC
rnacentral:rRNA from 1 species